rnacentral:tRNA from 1 species
GGUGGCUCAGUGGUAGAGUGCUUGUCUCGCAAGCACGAGGCCCUGGGUUCGAUUCCUCAGCACCA